UUUCGCCGCGUACGUCGGCAGCCGGAGGGAGCCGACGCCACGGGGAGCUCCGCGACGUCGAGGUGCACCUUUGCCACCUAUCCUCUUCGCGAAGGCCCCACCGGAGCACCGCCAUGGCGUGAAGACCCGUGCCGCCGCCGAGUUUCUUCGCCAUCCGCCGCCGGCCGGAUUCCGGGCGCCUCCGUCUCCCUCCGUCGCCGGUGAGCGCGUCUACGACAUCCCCUCGACCUCCUCUUCCAAUUCCCAACCUCGCCGUUGGUCCUCGCCGCCCGGAGCACCGGCAAGCCGGCCGGCCAAGCCCCCCGGGGGAGAUUGAAGAAGACCUGGCAGUCUUGCAGUUUGGCCCAUGAAAGACUUGGUAAUUACUCCAACGAUUUCUGUGUCUUGUUUCUUUUGCAGACAGACCCCCGAAAACCUUAGAUCCUUUGCAAACCAGUCCUACCCGAGAACUUUUACAGAUCUAACCCUGAACAUAGAUCUAUUCGCGAGAACCGUUCCAUGAGUCUUGUGAAUCUCCCUUGCUAACCCCUAAGUAUAUGGUUAAUCACGACUAGGUCCUUGCAACCUUGCUUAGUUCAUAGAAUCUAUGCUUUAACUUCGUUUAACCUCGUUCAGUUUGCGUUAGGUUCAUGAUGAUAUAAAUUACACGUUAGUGUUGAUGUUUUCCUUCAUGAAUGUUUUUGAAAAUAAAUUUGAUAUUAAUUUGUUUAAUGUCUACUUCAUAUCCUUUUCUAAAUAAAAGCCAAUUAGGUUAUAUAUCGGUUUUUCAUGAAUUAAAGUUAAUUUGAUUAACGCUUAUAUAAAUAAUUCUUCCAAUUAAAAGCUAAUUAGAGAUAUACCUCGCCAUUUCAUAAAUUAAAUUAAAUUUGAUUAAUGUUUAUUCAAUUUGCUUUCUAAAUAAAAGCUACAUAGGUUAUAUCUUGAGUUUUCAUAAAUUAAAUAUUAAUUCGACUCAUAUGAAUAUAAAUGUGUUUUUUAAAAUAAUCUGCUAGUCAAACUCGAAAUAUAAAGUUAUGCGCUGAGAUGGUUUUACAUGCUUCUUCUAAACUCAAAUGUUAAUUUACAUAAAUUGUACUUAAAUAUUUAUAAAUAAGAUUGGACUAAGCUUUGCAUCAUCUUUUCUUAUGAAAAUAUAAAUAUGACUUGAUUAAUUCUAACUAUGAAUAUUUCUCUGAAAUAUCUUUACAUUGCUUUUCUCAACUAAAAUAAAUGAAGCUUGUAGCUCUUAUCGUUCUUUUAUAAUUCAAAACUCUCGAUAGUUUUAUCUUUUCAACCAUAGUUCUGUUCUCAGCGUUUCCUACGUUCGAGUAAUCCUAGAAUCGAGCCUUGUCCUUUAGUACGCUCUUUUAAAGUCUAUCUUUUAUUUUGGUGUAUUGUUCUUAGUUGUACUUGUUUGUUGCUUGUAUGUUUGUGCCGAUGUUCUUAGAAUCGAAGAAGGAUCGUUGUUCGAAAGAUUUGAAGAUUAAGAGUUUAAGAGAACAAGAGCUGAAGAGUAGUAAGAGUAACUUUUCGUUGGAGCAAGGCAAGUGUCCUUAACCAACCUUCUACCUACGCUUUGUUAAUAAUAUCAUGAUAAUGUUAAUUGGAACAUGGAAAACUACCCAGGAAAACCAUGCUACCAUAAGAAUAAAUGGCUCUGGUCUUAGCUGAAUAAUUAGAAACUCUAGUCUGGGGUAAUCUUACCGAAAGGGCAAGAGGGGAGGCGUUGAUGGGGUAUAGCACUCGUUUUCUUGGGAAGUGGGCUUUGCUAAGACACUGUACCCACAAGGGGACUGUUGUGCUCUAGUUCGGCCUGAAGCCUUAGCGGGUUACCACUUACUAGCGAAUCUUUGUAAAGACCUCGUAGCGUCCCUAUGCAAUCACACCUCGGAAGUGUGGUAUGGUGCCUAGCUAGCACCGCAUGGUUGGGUCCAAAGUUCUUUGAACUUUUACGCGACUUGUGGGUAAAGAUGUGCAACCUCUGCAAAGUGUAAAACUGAUCGAUCAGCCGUGCUCACGGUUAAGCGCGGCCUGGACCCUCACAUGAUUAAUUAAACUUGAAUAUGGACUCAAAUCGUUAUUCUAGUUAUUUCUAGUGGGCUUGCUGAGUACCAACCAUAAGUGUACUCACCCUUACUUACUGCUGCUCAGAAGGUGUGUGAAGUAUUCUAGAGACGAUGCUGAGUUCUAGGUGUACCCAACCCCCAGUCGAUUGCCUGUGAAGUUUGGGACCUCCGUUUCCAGGAUUAAGCUGUGUAUCUCUGAUGGUUUCAUAAGUCUUCAUUUGUGUUCUUUUACGUGAUAUUGUUAUUCACUGAUAAUGUCACUAUAUGUAUGAAACUAGAUCCUGGCAUACAUAUAGGUAGCACUUGGUUUUGUCCUUAAAAUCGGGUGUGACAUAAACUUUAGCAGUUAAACUUUGUUAAACUUGAGUUGCUAAACUUUAGCCAUGGCUGUUUGGAUCCAUGAGUAAAACAACCUUUAAUGAGGUGUAGAAAGACAUGUCUGCUCUUAUUUAAUGCGAGGGGGGAGAGAGAGGGUCCAGAAGAGGAUGUCCAGCGCCAAGUUUAGCAAGGUUUAGCAACCAAAAAGUUUCUAAAGGGCUAAAGUUUAGCAAAGUUUAGCAAGGAUGUUUGGCAAAUUUGUUGCUAAACAUUGUUAAACUUUAGCUGCUAAAGUUUAGCAAGGGGUAUCCAAACACCCCCUUAUAUUAGAUUACUUCCUUCCAGAUCCGGGAUCUCCAAGCAUUUUCCUGAAAACCUCAACUGUCUAUCUGGCAUAACCGCCAUUCAAACACUGCUGUGGAUACCAACACGCAAAGCUAAUUUAACCCGCGCUCACCCCUUUUCUUCUCAGCGCUCAAUCCGACCGGUCGCCUCCCCACGUGUGUGGACCCCACGAUCUUUACUCCGCAGAACCCAGCAACCUCAUCCACCACUUGUUCAUCUUAUCUCUUUUCUCCUCAUGAAAACAGAAGCACACCCAACCGGCGAGCGGCAGCACAUAGGCCGACAGUGGCUUGGUCGCGUGCGCGGGAAGUGAGGUUCCCCUUGCCCUUCCCUUUCUCCACCGGGAAGUGGCUCGGGCUCCGCCCGCUGCGCGCUGCCGUGUGCGAGAAGCAGAUGCGCGAGGGUGGCACCAGGCGAUGCCACACUUCAGGUGGAGGAGAUCUCCAGCGACGAAUCGAGUGACGGCGCCACAACGAAGGUUGGGCGCGGCGGCGGAUUCGUCGGGAAGGAGUUUCUCUGACGGCGGAUCUAGGCGGAGCUUUUUGAUAGAGGUGGGAGGAGUUAUACAAUGAGUUUUCUUAAUUUUUGCUCUUUUUUUUUGCUGAUUUUGCUUCCUGGUAUUUCUUUCCAAAAGUUAGGAAUACAACUUUUUCUCCUAACUUUUGCCCACAAUUUCUGUUUUCCUUCGAAUCUGAUUCCAAAGUUCUAUCUAUAACUUUUUAUUUUUUGAAUUAUGUUCCUAACUUUUGUUCAUAAUUUAUGUUUCCUUCAAAUUUGGUUCCAAAGUUGUCUCUAUAACUUUUGUUUUUAGAAUCAUGUUCCUAACUUUUGCUUCUGUUUUUUUCUGAAUUUUGUUUCUCAUAUUUUUCAAAGAGUUGUUACCUAAAAAAAAUUUGUCUACAAAUUUCUUAUACAAAUUAUGUGUGCAUAUUUUUAAAAAAAAAUGUUGUGUAUAUAACUUCUACACGUAUGUUUUUGUCCAUAUUUAUAGUAUUUUUUUAUAAGGGCUACUUUGGAAGGACGUGGCUGAUUAGCCCAGGGCACCCUUCCACCAGAGAGAUUUGUUGCCCCCUCCCCCCGGUUGCUAUUUGGAAGCUCUGACAUGGGGCAUGCACCACAGGGAGGGAAUAUAUAUCUAGCGGGAGGAAUAAUAAUAGCAAGAGAUACAAAUAGUAGUGACGAUAUAUACUUUGAUGAUGAUAUAGUGAUAAAUCAACCAAACUUUAGUCCACACAAAUGGUACAAUAUCAUAAUACAUCCAGCUCAUGUAAAAGAUAAAAAGUUGCAGAUUUCUCGGCAUGUUUAGUCACAAAACUACACUCUUUAACUUAACCAUUGAUACGAUACGAGUUUUUUUUAGUAAAAGAAGCUAAGGAUUUUCCCCCAAUCAUUCUCUUCUUGCCUCUUGGUUCUCCUCAACACUCAUAAAUUCUGUCAAAUAAACAAUAAAAUAAAAAUUGAGAUUAGUGUUGAGUAGAUGCAACCAGGUGCAAAGUAUGUUACACAUAUUUCUUAUUCAACGCUCCAUCAGUUUCUACAAAACCAUGUGGAGCUAUCAAAGCCAUAAAACUAGGCGGUACAAACAGUUCCAUACUUCUUGAAUAGCAUAAGUACCACAAUAGAAGGUGAAGCAAUACAUGCUUUGAAUCUACGUAUUAGGAGGAGUAGCAAAACUAGAACAAAAGGUUGGUCAUGGACGGCUAGGCUGAUAUUAGAAAGCAGAUAGCAGAUUACCAAAGAAAGGAAAAAAAUAUGUGAAUCAUCUCUAAUCUAUGCAGAAUUGUUCGGUAUGGUAGUGCAACCACUAAAUAACAAGUAUGGUAGUGCAGAACAAAGAAAAGUGCAACAGUUCACCAAAGUAUUCAAGCAAAGCACAAACAAGUCACUAGAAUACGGCUAAGUUACCUUGUUGAAAUAUAAACGGUGGCUACCAACCGGAAACAAAGGCCAUUUUGGGUAAAAGAAAAUAUGAAUUAUUUGCACACACAAAAUAUGCAUUGGAAUUCAAGCACACAUAAAAAAAUAUGUCGAAGUUCAGACUCAAAAGUCACGAAAUGUCAUGGCUGCUGUUGGAACCAUAGUUCUUUCAUUCUUCAAAAGUUCUGUUUUGUUUCUUCCAAAUGAAAGUUUUCUCCCACCAAAAGAAAAGAUAGUUUUCCAAAGGACUAAAGUAUACUUUCUCAAAUAUGCUUACAGUAUGCUAUGAACUGACAAAAGAGAAAGCAGUACUCUCUCACAGAGGAUAAAAGGAUGCAUACCAAUUGUCAUGAGGUAUCUAUGUUCAGAGUUAACAUUUGAUUCAAUAACUAAGAGAGAACUUGUUUGACAAUAUAGUGAUUAGUGAGAGUGAGUGUAAAUAAAACCACAAGCCAACAACACAGAGAUAGCUACUAUAAUUACAAGCAAGUUUACAAUAGUGUACUCACAGUCGCUGCUUAUCUAGAAACAUAGUUACUGUGUCAGAUCUAGUAUACUAAUCUGCAAAGAAAGAAUUCCACAUUAUACACUCCAUGUGCUUGGAUUUUUUAUGUAAUCAGUAGAACAUCCAGUUCAGCUGGAGAUUUGUUCAAAUUACUUGAGCACCUGGAUGUACCUAUGCUUAAUCAAUAGAACAGUGUGCUCUAGAUGUACCUGUGUUCCAGAGAAUAAUUUAACCAACAGGUAGCAAUAGGUUAAGAGGACUGACAUGAGCAUCCAAAUUAAAACAUUGAUGCUUGCAGGCAAGUAAACAUGGUUUAUACAUACCGCAAGAUUACACAUAAUUCAAAAACAGGUGGCAAUAGAUUAUACGCAUGCAGAUAGUGGGUAGAGCAGCCACAUAAUUAAAAAAAUCCAAUAAUAAGUAUAUGAAGCAGACAAGGACAUGAUUUAUACAUACUGCAAGAGUAUACAAUUGUUGACAAUAGCUUUAAAAAAAGAAUAGCCACAUGCAACAUUCAUAGGCUGACCUAAGUAUCUUCAAAUUACCUAAGCAGAUAAAACAAUAUUGACUUCAAGUCUGAGCUAAAGUGACAAACCAUUAAAGCACUUGGAUAUACUGAUUACUGAACCAUUAAAACACUUGCAUGUGAAAUGGAUGGAAUCUGCCUGCAGCACAGGUGAAAGAAUGGAGAUGUAAUGAAAAUUUGAACUUCUGCUACAAUAAUUGUACAUUCAAACUGUUAUAAUACUUUAUUUUGCAGUAAUUUGUGGACCUGAAUUCCUUCUAGAAUCGGUGGCACACAAAUAUGGAAAAACGGGGUGUACCGAAUGUCUAAACUUCUGCUAAAAUGAUUUUGCACAUUCAAACUAGUAAUACUUUGCAUCAGUUUGGACGCAUUGAAAUGCGCUCUCGAACAGAAGUAAGCUUCAUAUUCAAGUAACCCUCUACAUGCAUGUGAAACAAAUAAGACCCUGCAAACUCAAAUCACAAGGACACAAGUUAAGAAACAUCACAACAGAUGUGCAUUCCCAUCUGCGAAUGCAAGUGGUCUCUACAUUAGGGAGGUGCAGCACAACUAGAAUUCAAAUCAAAGUUCCGACACAAGCAUGGAGAUGCUAACUUCAAGAAGUCACAACGUAGGCACGACGAGUACAAAUCCUAGGCAAACCCAAGGCAACAGUUGAGGAGGAAGCAGAGAGAACUCACAUCAUGGAUGCGGAGGCGGCGGCUGAGCUAGAGAUCUCGUAGGUCAAGAUGUCCACGGUGGCCGUGACAAGACGGCAAGAGACGGAGCCGCGUGGCUAGGACGGAGACACGGUGCGGCCAAGACGGAGGAUGCACGGAGUGGCUGGGACGGAGAUGGAGCGCACGGCUAGGAUAAAGAUGGAGUGCACGGUCGGGACAGAGAUGGAGCGGCGCGGCCUUGACGGACGUGGCUGGGACGACGGAAGCAGAACGACGGAGGCGGAGCGGUGCGGCCAGGAUAGAGUGGCGCGGAGGUGGAGCAGAAGGGAGCCGCUCAGGGAAGAGACGCCCAGACUCGAGAGGUGGGAAAGUGCUGCCCCGAGGAAAAUGCGUGGAUAGGGUUCUCGUACCCUCGGGUGUGGACUUCUAAAGGGAGUGUUGAUUUAGCCCGUGCCCAAUUUUCCGCGUGGGCUUUCAGCCUAGGGAAAAGGUCGGAUUUCUCGCGGGAUCUGGGUUCCCAAAUUAGACCUAAAGGGUACGGAGGGGGACGAGUGGUCCCGACAUCCUGUCUCAAAACGUUUGUUAUGCCUGAUUAGUCCUCCCGAUACCGACAACAAUUUGUCUCUGCCAACGCCGUCUAUGCCAAGGCUACGUGACAUCUCUCGGGAACAAUAAUCCAAACGGAUUUGAUCGACGAUCUGGAGAUCCAUGAGGUCAUAUUUUUAUCAAAUUCCGUUUUCCAAAUAAGGAUGGUGGGUUCCAAUGGAUUUUAUUUGUGCGUUUGUUAUGGGGCCACGGUACCUAAAUUUAACGAAAGUUUUGUGAAAUUUGUCCAAAUUUAUGUUAUUUUUGUCAUAGAUAAGUGACGUUUUGGAAUUAUAUUGAGUUAACCAUCUCGAACUUAUAGAUUACUAUCUUCUUUUAUUUGCUUUUUUUUACUGAACACACAGGAUACAUGCAAACGCUAACAAAACACGCAUGCAUAUUAACCCUAUCUCUAUUGGCAGUGGAAUUUGUGGUGUGAUACCUUUUAUGGAGACGAAACCAGCUAUUUUCAUUACUUAAUCAAAAUAAUAACAUUGUUUGUAUAUAAAAAACUAAUAAAUAAUUAAUAUUAUGAUUUUACUUUUUAUUUUGAAACUAAAGGUAGGAGCACUGCCGCAUCAUUUAAGAACAAGUUGCCCCGUAUCAAUUGAAAUGAGGCCAAACCAUAUAGAGCUCAAUUAAUUAGGGAAACUGAGAAAAAACCACACACAACGCUUGCAACACCUGGCUAAACUAGGCCUAGCACCGCAGUAGAAGACUUAACUACCUAGCUGAACUAGGCCUACAAUGUUCGAAAUCGUAGUCGAAUCCAAACAAAACAAUACAAUGUCGGAUCAAAGCUUGCAGCCGCGCAACCACCAACAUGUAUGGUUGGAUCUCCAAAGCAAUGUCUUCAAGAAGAACACGACGUAAAUAGCGUCAUCGUCGCCCGUCCGGCGAACCAAAGUAGAUUUUCAUCUGGAGAACCACCAGGCCAUACAGAAGCACCACGACAACACCUUCAAGAAGGGAAAUGACGCCUAAGGGCGUCGUCGUCGCCGACGCCAGCACGAGGCAAGCAAGGCUUUCGCCAGGCGCUCCUGCAUGGGUGGGUGCUCACGCCCCAAGAGCAAGCCACGAGCGGCAGCAUCGACGAAGCGCCGCUCGCCGCCUACUGCUUGGCAGCGUCAGGCCAAGGCGCAUGCCGACCCUCCCCCCCCAGACCGCCUGUGGCGGCCACCAUGGAGGGGGCGCUACACCAAGCUAGUGCCAUGCCCAUGGGUAAGCACGGUAGGGCCGGAUCCGGCUCAGCUCGGGCGAAAUCCGGCAAUCUCGAAGCACCACGAGGCGAAGUAUCGAUGGACACCGAGAGGAGGCGCCCGACCACACAAGCAGCUGCAGACUGCACCCAUGCCGUAGACCUGAAGCGCCAGUGCGAGCAAGUGCCACCGCAACAAUGGAGAGCAGCUCGAGAUCUGGAUCUGCGAAAUACAAGAUGGAGAGGAGAAGGAAGAUGGGAGAGGGAAAAGAGGAGGGAGGGGAGCGGGAGAAGGGGAGGGCCGCCGCCACUGCCCAGGGCUGGCGACGACGGCGGCCUGCUAGGCUGCUGCUUGGGGGCGGGCUGCAGGCGGUGGGUUUGCCCCCGAGUUGCCUCGAUGGAGACGACACGGGGGAGAGGUAGGGGCUGUUUGGGAGGCAUAGGCUAAACUUUAGCUCCUGUCACAUCGGAUGUUUGGACACUAAUUAGGAGUAUUAAACAUAGACUAAUUACAAAACUAAUUACAUAACCCCUAGGCUAAAUCACGAGACGAAUCUAUUAAGCCUAAUUAGUCCAUGAUUUGACAAUGUAGUGCUACAGUAACCAUUUGCUAAUGGUGGAUUAAUUAGGCUUAAUAGAUUCGUCUCGCGAUGUAGCCUAGGGGUUCUGCUAUUAUUUUUAUAAUUAGCUCAUGUUUAGUCCUCCUAAUUAUCAUCCGAACGUCCGAUAUGACAGGGCUAAACUUUAACCCCUGCUAUCCUAACACUCCCGUAGAGUCUCCGCCACUCCGCCCCUUCUUUCUCCUCCAAUAUGCAAUGCUAUGAUUUUACUCCUUAGCCCUUAGGGUUUCAGGAAGUCCUAAGUCCAUCAGGUCCAUUUCGCUAGGUGGCAUUUCAAAGCUUUGUUGCCACUUGUUUUGCCAGGAAAGGAAAAACGUGUUUGCUUUUCUUGUCGUGUUCUCUCGGGGCCUGCUCAAGCGACUUGUUGCUUGCUGCAGCGGGUGAACCAAAUUGGCUCUCUGCGGCAUGCAAGGCAAAGUUCACUUGUUAAAGCAAGGCGAGGCAAGGAUUGCUUUGUAACCGAACAUGUCCUUAGUUGUGAGUUUUUUCUUUCACAAUAAAGACCAAAUCUUGUGAAAUUUCAUUAAAAAAAACCUUUGAUCCGCGUUUCUAACUGUUUGUUGAGUAUUUUCAAUCUUGGCAAAUGCUUAGCAUGAACAUAAGAUGGGAGUGCUCCAUUGGAAAUAAAGUAGUACAAAUUUUUUGUUAAAAAAAACACUCGUCCUAUACUUAAGCUAGAACCUUCGCACCGUGAGUUGCUUUUUUAUAUAUUUUUUUCUCAAGCAGCCGACAAUUUUUUAUUUACUUCGGUUAUUCCUAGGGUGAAUAUAAAUUAGCACAAAGAAAUCUCCGACCAACAUUUUCCAACCAUAAAAGAUCGCAAGCUCUUCUCAGUUCUCUCGUCAUUUGGGAAAUAAAUAGCUGUCGAGAAAUGUCCCAAUUUCAUCUAAAAAAAUCCUAGCUUGGUCAUUUGAGAAAAGUACAAAGAAAUUCAAUAACCACCAACCAUGACCAUUCUCUAAAAAACACUUUGGAGAUCAUGUACUGUAAGUGCGUAGCGGAAUUUUAUUUGUAUCUCCUCUUGGGAUGUGGACUUCGAGCGAGCCUUGACUUUUUUUUAGAAAGCCAGCUCUUCUCACGACUGCGAUAGUGAAACUGCAGGUGGCAGCAUGCCUUUCAGGAAGGAGUAGAAGAGAACUAACGAUCUCUUAGGCUGG
rnacentral:lncRNA from 1 species